UACAGAGGGGGCAAGCGUUGUUCGGAAUUACUGGGCGUAAAGGGCGCGUAGGCGGCCUUCUAAGUCGAACGUGAAAUCCCCGGGCUCAACCCGGGAACUGCGUCCGAUACUGGAUGGCUUGAAUUCGGGAGAGGGAUGCAGAAUUCCAGGUGUAGCGGUGAAAUGCGUAGAUAUCUGGAGGAAUACCGGUGGCGAAGGCGGCAUCCUGGACCGACAUUGACGCUGAGGAGCGAAAGCUAGGGGAGCAAACGGG
rnacentral:rRNA from 1 species